AGAUUGAACGCUGGCGGCAGGCCUAACACAUGCAAGUCGAGCGGUAGAGAGGUGCUUGCAUCUCUUGAGAGCGGCGGACGGGUGAGUAAUGCCUAGGAAUCUGCCUAGUGGUGGGGGAUAACGUUCGGAAACGGACGCUAAUACCGCAUACGUCCUACGGGAGAAAGCGGGGGACCUUCGGGCCUCGCGCCAUUAGAUGAGCCUAGGUCGGAUUAGCUAGUUGGUGAGGUAAUGGCUCACCAAGGCGACGACUCCGUAACUGGUCUGGAGAGGAUGAUCAGUCACACUGGAACUGAGACACGGU
rnacentral:rRNA from 1 species